rnacentral:tRNA from 1 species
GGAAGCGUAUCGAAGUGGUUGUAACGGCCCUGACUCGAAAUCAGGUGUACCUACGGGUACCGUGGGUUCGAAUCCCACCGCUUCCG